rnacentral:rRNA from 1 species
GGAGUUAGGACCGUGUCUCAGUUCCUAUGUGGGGGACCUUCCUCUCAGAACCCCUACUGAUCGUCGUCCCGGUGGGCCGUUACCCCGCCGGCUAACUAAUCAGACGCAUCCCCAUCUCUGUACCGAUGAAUCUUUAACUGACAGGGGAUGUCCCCCGACAGCCACAUCCGGUAUUAAUCCUCCUUUCAGAGGGCUAUCCCGGAGUACAAGGCAGGUUGGAUACGCGUUACUCACCCGUGCGCCGGUCGCCGGCAAGAGUAGCAAGCUACUCUCCCGCUGCCCCUCGACUUGCAUGUGUUAAGCCUGUAGCUAGCGUUCAUC